rnacentral:rRNA from 1 species
UACGUAGGGUGCAAGCGUUGUCCGGAAUUAUUGGGCGUAAAGCGCUCGUAGGCGGUUUGUCGCGUCUGCUGUGAAAACUCAGGGCUUAACCCUGAGCCUGCAGUGGGUACGGGCAGACUAGAGUGUGGUAGGGGAGAUCGGAAUUCCUGGUGUAGCGGUGGAAUGCGCAGAUAUCAGGAGGAACACCGAUGGCGAAGGCAGGUCUCUGGGCCACUACUGACGCUGAGAAGCGAAAGCAUGGGGAGCGAACAGG